AUGGCUCCCUCAUCAACAAUUCUGUUGCUCGAGAAAAAUGGAUGGAACAAGAUAGUUUUCUUAUCUUCAUGAUUGCAACCACACUUUCUGCAGAUGGUUUAACUCUGAUAAUCGGUUGUGAAACAUCUAUGGAGGUAUGGCUUACACUCAAACAAAGAUAUGCUAUUGUGUCUGAAUUACAUAUUGUGCAACUAAAGACGGCAUUACAUAAUAUACAGAAAGGCUCUGACUCAAUAGAAAAGUACUUAUUGCGAUUUAAAUAUAUGAGAGAUCGACUAGCUGUGGCAGGGGUUGAGAUAAAUGACCAGGAUAGUAAGAAUUUGAUUCUUGCGGGUCUUCCUAUCUAUUAUGGUCAUACUAGACAGAUUAUUAGAGCAAAAAUUGAUAUUGAAAUGGAGGAAAUUAGGUCCUUACUCUUGUCUGCUGAGUUUGAAUUGGAGCUAAAGCAUAAGAGCCUUUCAUUUUCAUCAAUGUAUGCAAUGCUACCGAAUGAUGGUAGACAUCAUUUCAGAAUUCCAUCUCACCCCAUCAAACUUGGUGAAAAGGUUGCCCCCUCUAUGCCACAAGUUCAUGCAGGAUAUGUCAACUUUAUUGGUGAAGUCCAAUAUCAUGGUGGUGAUUACUCUCGGCCCAACAAUGACUUGGUUCAACAAUGUGGUGGAGGCUUUCAAUCUGGUAUGACUACAGCUAAUGCUUAUCCAGCUUCCUCUAAUAUUGAUGCAAUAAUGAAUGGUGGACAUUGUUGUCCUUAUACUGGUACUGGUUUGGUUAAUAAUAGUGUUGUAUAUCCUUCACUACCUCAAUACAAUGAUUCUAUCUUGCAUGAUUGUGUUACUCGACUCGGUUCAAAUAAUUCCUCUCCUAGGACGCAAGACGGUAACACUGCAGGUAGUGAAGGGGUUUUUUGCUCAGUUCCACCGCAGUAUCAUUAUUCUUCUGGCUAUGUUGCUCAGUAUGGAAAUUAUGGUUCUAGCACCUCAUGUGUCCUGCCGUCCAAUCUUAAUCAAAAUGGAAUACAACAACAUGGAAACUUCUCUCAGCAACCACCCUUCUCUCAAAAUAAUGUGCAAUCUGGGAAUUUUCCUUCACAAGUUGGUGGGCUUACAAAUUACUCUCAAGGGUCUUAUCAUGAAAAGAACAAUUCUAUUGUGUGCCAGCUUUGUGAGGAACUUGAAACGGCAGCCUCAAGUGUUUCUAAAACUUCUAUAACUGAGGACAUAAAGAAUAUUCAUGCUGGUGCAUCACCUAAAGCUCUGUGUGCUUCUGUCUACAUUCAACCAAAGCCAAACUCCACUGCUACACCCCUAGACAACAGUGUUGCUCAGUCACAAGUCAACCAAUCAGUUCCUACUCUGCCUCAUAUGCAGCAAAGUCUCCUCAAGAAAACUGAAGUGCUUACACCAAGAACUUGGCCUACUUCACUCAACUCCAGAUAGACUUCUCAUCAAUUGUAAGCAAGCUUGUGAGUACCAUUUUUCGACAAUCAUUUCCCCUCAUUCUUCCUGGUUGAUAACCCUAGUACCAAAUAAAGGACUCUACGACAAACUAGCUCUUGGUUGAGUUGGUUCCCCAAGCACUAGUUUGAGGGGGGAUGCUAAGAUGAAGAAGAGAAGGCCCGGUUCAGCCCAUUGUAUAUGGUCCAUGCCCAUAAGAGCUUAGUAGUAUAAAUAGGGAUAAAUUCUCUUUUAGAAAACACACUGAAAGAUAUCCCAAUUUAUCAAAAUACAAGUUCAUGAAUUUUCUGAGUUUUCUUCUUUGUCUUGUGCCUUUCACAAUCUCUACGUCUUCAUCAAAAACUUAACACCUUCCUUCUGGAAAAUGGUUGAUUUAAUGAUAAGAAACUAUUUCUGUUUUUGAUUCUGCAUCUGGUUUAGGAUAUUCUAUCUUACAGAACAGAAAGUUUAAAGUUCAGCAGAAAGUACCUACCGUAGUUGCUCAAAAUUUCAAGAAAUGCAGCGACUACUCUUCAUCUCAUUCUAUUGCAUAUUAAUGUCCAUGGCUUCCUUUAACGUGUGCCAUAAUGUUUGCACAGAAUCCAAGUGUGGUACCGUGAUGAUCACCGACUUGCUAUCCAUGUCCCGUUCAAGCGCCUUCCUAGUUCUCAUGGAUUGGAGCUUGGAUGCAGUCAGAAGAGCAACAAGACUGUUCAGCAGCAACAUGUGUAAAAUUCUUUGUGAAACACAUUGAUUAUAAGCGCCAGAAAAUUCAAGUACAUAACCCAGAUAGUGAUUGCUUUCUCUUAAUGUGAACAGGAGGGUAAGAAGUGUCGUUUGAAGUUCAACGGCAUCCAAAGUGAAAUUGAGUGUGUUCAUUUUAGUAAACCAAGCGCAAAAAAGAAAUUAGUGGCUACAGGUGCAACGCUGACUACAAUCAUCCUAUUAGUUUCGAUGGGUGUAAUAUUUGUUAUGUAUCGCUCUGAUAAGAAGGAAAAAGAGAAUCAACUGAAAAUGUGAUAGGAGCACAAAAUGUGACGUUCUUAAUGUAUAUGUAAUA